rnacentral:misc_RNA from 1 species
AACACACCUUGCACUCUUUGGUAUUCCGAAGAGUAUGCCUGUUUGAGUGUCAUUAAAUUCUCAAACCUUUUUGGCUUUGUUGGUCGGAAAGGCUUUGGAUGUGGGAGUUGCUGGAACUAGCCUUUCAGCUCUUCUUAAAUGUAUUAGCGGGUUACUGAUCUCCGCUACUUGGUGUUGAUAGUCUAUCUUACGCCUUGUAGUUGAAUCAACUUAUGUAGCUGCUUCUAACUGUCGACUUGGUUGACAAUUUAAUUGACUAUUUGACCUCAAAUCAGGUAGGACUACCCGCUGAACUUAA